rnacentral:lncRNA from 10 species
GGGAAAUGGCAUCUGAACCCAGGAAGUGCUUCCCACUUCUUCAGAAUGAGGCUGAAUCAAUUUCUCCAAGUUCCUCCUUCCUAGGGAUGGAAGGUAGACCUGUACUUUUCAGGACUCUGAGGUCAGAAAGCUGAAAAGAACAGCAGGGAGGGACUAAGAGGCCUGAUGUGUGGUUGUGGGUUUUCUUCUCUUAAAGACUUUUCUUACAUGAGAUAUCUUCCAGGAAAAUGAAAACAAAUGAAAAAGAAAAGAUGGUGGCCUUCUAAAAUUCUCUCCCAGGGUGUUUGUGACUGUGAGGCCACCAUAGGCAAAGACUGCUGAUGUGUGUGUGUGCCGGGGUGGGGGUGGAGGGCAGACUGUUUUGCUGUUGCUCUUUGGUUGGAAUAAGGGAUCUGGGAGGGUUAUGUAACUCUUCAAGACUGGUGUGUGUGCUGAGCGGCACCUUUCCUCCCUGGCAGGUGGGCUGCUAUGGUCAUGGGGGCAGCCUGUCCAAGUCCCUGCCCAGAGAAGGGCCCCAUGCUCUGUGCUGGCAUCAGACCAUUCCCUCUAAGCCACAGCUUCAGGGGCUAGAGGCUUUUAGGAGCUGGGCCAGGGUCUCCUAGCCCCACUGGGGAGUUAACCAGAUAUCAGAGCUAGAAGGAUUCUUUAAGGUAAACUGUUCAAAAUUCUCAUUUGGCAAAUGAGAAAACUAAGGCCUGAGGAGGAAGUGACUGUUGCUUCCAGACUAGCUAGUGUCAGAACUAGGUUUAGAGCUCAGAUUCUCUUAACUCUUCAUCCGCUGCUCUCAACAUUAUGUGACGACGGACCAAAAGAGCCCAUCACGGCUGCUUCACAGGUGUGCAAGGCCAAACUUACAGCUAGUCCCAUAACCCCAGGGAGGUCCCUGUGCCUUCCAGGAUAUCUCAACUAUGUUAAUAAUUCCACAGUCAGAGACCACUUUAGGUACUUCAAGGUUAUCCUCCUUGUUUAAAUGCAAAUUCUCCUAGGAAGGGGGAAAAAUCAACACAUUUAUCCUUAUCAGUCUUUUAUACUUUAGUGUGAAAGAGUUUAUUUGAGCAAUCUCCCAGAGAAGGGUUUGGUAAGAAGGGAGGAUACUGUGGUAGCAGUGGUUAACUAAAGGCCAGGGAAGGAGGCUGCUAAGGAGCUGAAGGGCUCAUGAGGGAGGCAGUUCAGUCUAAAUGUAUUUUUAGCUCAACUAAAUUUUGCAGAGAAUUGGAAUUGCCUUGUUUGGCUCUGGUAAGGAAAGGGGAGGGACACAGGGCACUUCCACUGACUGGUCAUGGAAUAGUAAGUCUUUGGGCUGUAGAAGGGAUACUUUUCCAACGAACUUCAUGUGUGGAAGACAUAAAGCAAGAAGUUAAAGAGCAUCAUGAUGUGUGAUAAGCUUGUUUGCUCCUUUCUAGGAUCUUAAAAUAAUUUUUUGGAUGGUGAAAUGUCACAUGACUCUGUUGGGGUUUGCUAUGGGGCAGGAAGAUGUGGGCAGGAAGAGCUGGCAGGCAGCAGAGGUUGGUGUCGCAUGAGCCUGAAGGGGAUGGGAGAUGAGAGUCAAACUCAACACCUAGAAGGUGCAUGAUAAAUACUGGUUGAAUACAUAAACUCUCCAUCUGUAGGGCCCAGGCAGGCUCAUGGAUUGUUGAGUGGAGGUGGGUUGUGGUAUCAGGGCUGAGGAAGAGUUGGGCAGAAGGGAGGACCCCUGGGUCCAACAGCACAGCUCACUGUCCUGAAGCUGAGCCCAUGCGGAAAGCUGGACUCAGAGGCUCAGCUCUUCAGGCUGGUUGGGGUGUGAGACGGAUGAGGGGUGAGGAGAAGACUGCCCCCGGCAAUAAACAGAACCGACCCCAAUCCUAGCUAUGAGCAGGGAGAGCCCUCUACUCCCUCUGCCCCCAGCCUCUGACCAGUCUGUCAGCCCGGGAAGCUGCAAAAUCUCUGCAGUGAGAGUUUCAUCACACACACACACACACACACACAAGGCCUCAGCAGGUGGAGUGAGAAGCGGGCAAUGGGCCUAUGAAGGCAGGAGGGAAAGGAGGCUGGCAUUGUGGCCAUAUCUCUGGGGGAAAAGAGAGGAAAGAGCUGGAUUCCGGGGUCAUGAACCAGCAGCACCCAGAUUCCAGGCCCCUUACCAGGCAGGAUCAGCUGUGUUCAGGGAAGUGUCAAUACCGUGACGGGAGGGUGAGCAGGUGGUGCGCAGGCGUUUGUGGACCUGAGUGGGCACGACUCUGCAUGGGCAACUGUGUGUUACUGACUUGGGCUGGGGGAGUUGGAGGACAACCCACACUAUACUAAAGAUGCAUAGGCUUCACAGCAAAGAUCAGCAUAGCUUUAUCUCAGUAUCUCCCAAUGACCCCUGGCCUGGUCACGCCAUCAGCACUCCCGGUUCCUUUUCCUUUCUCUGCAUGAAGUGUUUCAUCUCCAUUGGCUAGCCAGAUCCUCCUGGUUCUUCCCCUCUGUAAAAUGGGGCAAGUCUACCACGCCUCCAUACCCACUCUGUCUGGAGCAUGCGGGAGACCAGGCCCCAGAGGCGUGAGCUCCUGGGAAGAAGGCUGUGUGGAAGGGGACAGGUACAGGAGCUGUGCCACUGGAACUCUACGGAGGUAUAGUGUCUGGAAGCUCAGGUACGGGGCGGCGAGACACACACAAAGCUGCAGUGUGAGUUUCCCUGCAGGAUAUCUCGGCCUAGCUGUGGCCAGGGCCUGGUACCAAUGACCUCUCAGGGCUUUGGAUGCACCAGGUCAAACCAGCCAACCACCUGCCUCCAAUCAGGAAUGCACGCCCCAUCCCAGGCAGAGAGACAAGGGAGUUCCACAAUUUCUUCCUUGAUGAAUGAUUCCUAUCUACCACAAUUUUCAUUCAAUGCAUCAAAUCAACCAAUGAUGAUUUAAAAACAGCACUACAAAAACUCCGCAAAGCGGGUGGGAAUUUCCUGCUUGGGUCCAGCCUCCGUGUUUCCCGCGCACAGCCCGGUCUUUACCCUGGAUGCUUCCGAACCGGCAUCAUCUGGCAUCUCCGACAGUCUUGAUGCGACUUAACGCAUGGUAAGAACCCAUCAGAGAAGGUGAAAGGGAUUUCCAGAGACAGGUAGAGGCACUGCGCUGGGCAGCACCAGGGAGGAAUAUUAUCUUUUCAAGCAGCUGGACUCUGACCUAGAAGCCGGAACUCCUGAGUACUGAGGUCAGCACCUCUCUCACACACCCCCAGCUAUAAGCUUGAAGGAAACCCCUCCCCUUCUCUGGGCCUUGAUUUCCCCUCCUGCUCAGUGGGGACGUUCUUGGUCCUCCUUCUUGCCCACUCUACCCAGUCGCCGAGUCUGGCGAAGCAGAGCUGUCUGGGGGUCACCGCAGCAGGAGGGACCGAGCUUAGAUACGAAAAAAGACUUCUACACGGCAAGAGCCACAGAAAGGACGCUCCAGCUGGCUCAGCAGAGGGGCAUCUCUCCCUUUCAAGAACAAAAGGUGGCAGGUACCCGGGGGCCCUGGGGCAGAACGAGGUAAAUUCUGCACGGACUUCCACAUCUAAGACCCCAGAAAUCUCCAGCCGGCUCCCUCCGACCGUGAGUGCGUAAAACCCGGGAGCAGCAGGAGGGGAGGGCGGGGGUGCAGCUGGCCCCCCUGGGGUGUCCCCUCAGUCCCUGCGCCCCCGACCCUCGCCGGGCCAGCCUGGGGAAAGCCUUUCCGCCUCCGUGCGCUGCCCCGACUCCUCCGUGGGGAGGGAACGUGGAGUCGGGAUCUCGGCGGCGUGGGCGGGCCGGCUGGUAGCCGGCAGGCGAGAAGGAAUCUCCCGGCCCACGCGCGCCUCCCAGCGUCCAGCCUCGCACUUCCUCGCGGGGGCGGCGGCGAGGACCUGCACCCCGGCGCGGGGAAGCCGCGUGCCCACAGCCUCCCCGCGCCCCCGCCGCGCCCCGCCCCG